rnacentral:rRNA from 1 species
GAUGAACGCUGGCGGCGUGCUUAACACAUGCAAGUCGAACGGGAAACCUUUUAUUGAAGCUUCGGCAGAUUUAGCUGGUUUCUAGUGGCGGACGGGUGAGUAACGCGUGGGUAACCUGCCUUAUUCAGGGGGAUAACAACCAGAAAUGGUUGCUAAUACCGCAUAAGCGCACAGGACCGCAUGGUCCGGUGUGUAAAACUCCGGUGGUAUAGGAUGGACCCGCGUUGGAUUAGCUAGUUGGCAGGGUAACGGCCUACCAAGGCGACGAUCCAUAGCCGGCCUGAGAGGGUGAACGGCCACAUUGGGACUGAGACACGGCCCAGACUCCUACGGGAGGCAGCAGUGGGGAAUAUUGCACAAUGGGGGAAAGCCUGAUGCAGCGACGCCGCGUGAAGGAAGAAGUAUCUAGGGAUGUAAACUUCUAUCAGCAGGGAAGAUAGUGACGGUACCGGACGAAGAAGCCCCGGCUAACUACGUG